rnacentral:tRNA from 1 species
CGGGACGUAGCUCAGUAGGUAGAGCGCCUGGUUUGGGACCAGGAGGCCGCAGGUUCGAGCCCUGUCGUCCCGACCA